rnacentral:rRNA from 1 species
AUGAUAUAGACAUGGACGGAGAACUUGUUCAAAGAAAGUGAAAGUUGACUUACAACAAUGGCUUUAGUGGCGGACUGGUGAGUAACACGUAAGCAACCUGCCUAUCAGAGGGGAACAACAGUUAGAAAUGACUGCUAAUACCGCAUAUGCCUUAGCAACACAUGUUGCAAAAGGGAAAGGAGCAAUCCGCUGAUAGAUGGGCUUGCGUCUGAUUAGAUAGUUGGUGGGGUAACGGCCUACCAAGUCGACGAUCAGUAGCCGGACUGAGAGGUUGAACGGCCACAUUGGGACUGAGAUACGGCCCAGACUCCUACGGGAGGCAGCAGUCGGGAAUAUUGCGCAAUGGAGGAAACUCUGACGCAGUGACGCCGCGUGCAGGAAGAAGGUUUUCGGAUUGUAAACUGCUUUAGACAGGGAAGAAUAAAGACAGUACCUGUAGAAUAAGCUCCGGCUAACUACGUGCCAGCAGCCGCGGUAAUACGUAGGGAGCAAGCGUUAUCCGGAUUUAUUGGGUGUAAAGGGUGCGUAGACGGUAAUGCAAGUUAGUUGUGAAAUCCCUCGGCUUAACUGAGGAACUGCAACUAAAACUACAUUUCUUGAGUAUUGGAGGGGAAAGUGGAAUUCCUAGUGUAGCGGUGAAAUGCGCAGAUAUUAGGAGGAACACCGGUGGCGAAGGCGACUUUCUGGACAAUUACUG